GGAAGAUGGAAAGGCCAUCCGUUCCAAUUUUCCAUUUCUCCUUCAUGGAAAAAGAGACAAGGAUAACAAAUCCAAAUGGAAUGAACAGUUUUUGGAAACGUACGUGGCUGCACGAGAAAUAAAACUUGCAACAAAUAAAAUUCCAAGGAUGUGAUCGUCGUGUGAACUCAGUGUCGUGGCUCUCCAUGCUCUCUACUCCAUACUUAUUUGGCGGGUUUGACGCCUGAGCAAGCCACCAUAACCAAAGGAUGUGCAAGUUUUGCUUGCAGUGAUUGACCUGUCAUCAUUAAGAAUCUCAUGAUAAUUGUUCGGAUAAACAACAUCCCGUUUCACUGGAGAAACUACCGAGGAUGUCGAUCGAGUUACGUAUCCCUUCUUCCCCUUUUCUUUAAAUAUCCUCGUGUAUGCCCAUGUGAAUGUGGGUGUAUUCACGAGGACACCCUUUUCCCUAUCCCUCCUGGUAUAAGUCAACUCUUCAGCUGGAAUCGGAUGGAGCAACUGUAUAUGGAUGCCUGGCCGUAUUUCCCAGGCUUAAAGGU